CCUACGGGAGGCAGCAGUGAGGAAUAUUGGUCAAUGGGCGCAAGCCUGAACCAGCCAAGUCGCGUGAGGGAAGACUGCCCUAUGGGUUGUAAACCUCUUUUGUCAGGGCGCAAUAAUCGCUACGUGUAGCCAUAUGCCAGUACCUUAUGAAUAAGCAUCGGCUAACUCCGUGCCAGCAGCCGCGGUAAUACGGAGGAUGCGAGCGUUAUCCGGAUUUAUUGGGUUUAAAGGGUGCGUAGGCGGUAUAUUAAGUUAGUGGUAAAAUGGCGGGGCUCCACCUUGUUGAGCCAUUGAAACUGGUUUACUAGAGUGAGGGAGAGGUAGGCGGAAUACGUGAAGUAGCGGUGAAAUGCUUAGAUAUAACGCAGAACCCCGAUAGCGAAGGCAGCAUACCGGCGCGUUACUGACGCUCAUGCACGAGAGUGUGGGUAGCGAACAGGAUUAGAUACCCGAGUAGUC
rnacentral:rRNA from 1 species